CUUCGCUGCUGCCCCAAGAUUAUGGAGUAAUUUGUCGGUGCUAUCUUUUAGCAUUGUCACUACGGCUACUUAUGUUUUGGAUCUAUUUCUUUUCAUGUCUGGUCGUCCGCCUGAUUCCUGUCCCAUGCCAAUGUUGGAAGUCACGAUUUUUGUGAUAUAAUGCAUAUAUAUCACGAUAUAUAGUUUGAGUUAUCAAAAUGAGAUGAAAGCUAAAAUGUAUAUUUUGUUACGGGUAAGACUCACUUUUCUCUAUGGCCAGCCCAUUGUUCUUUAAUAUCUCAGCAAUAAUAACAACAGUAGCAAUAGCUGUCAGACAACAUAGAAAUCGAGUUAAAAGAAAAACAAGAGAAAGAAACAGUUAUGUUUUCCU